rnacentral:miRNA from 1 species
CGAGUUUGCUUUUGAUGGGAGA